GCUGCCAAAUCUUGUCCCAGAAAGCGAAAGCUACAUCCGCUGAAUUCAUUAUUCGUUAUAAGAAACCCAGUCCCUUCCAACGCAGUAUUAUAUUCAAGUACAGCACGUUUCGUUGUAAAAUGUGUGUUUGUCUUUAACGGGCCGCUGUGGUAAAACCCUCUGGUCCGUGUGUGCCGUCGACCGCGGAUAGCUUCAGUGUGAAUCUGGAGAUUUGCGCCACUGCUGCCCUUCGCGUGUGAUCCCUCCCCUCGCGCCGCUCAGAAAAUGCGUUGUGCUGCGCGCGGCAGCAGGCUCGGGUCGGUUUGGGGCUAUUGCUACUUUCAAGCACUCCUCGUAAAUAUAAAAAUUUGUUACACAUUAAAACGAUUUAAGUCGAAAAUGCAUAGGUCUAAAAUAGGUCCUUCCUUAAAAGAAACAGCACUCUAUUAAAAUAAGGUAUUUUCAGUGGCGUUUUUAUUUUAUGUUUUUCGGAAGCCAAACAAAAGCUGUAGCCACAGAAUAAAGAGAAAAUGCCUGUAGACAGGCAUUUUCUUAAUGUUGCUUAGUGCUUAUCAAAGUAUGCAAAAAAUAAAACAGCCACAGUAAGAAACGAGUCGUGUGGUUUGUAGCCUAUUAGGCUAUUUAUAAAAGCAAAACCACAAAUAUGGAAGCCAAAUAAAAAUGGAAAUGUCGUAAUUCCCAUAAGCAGACAGUACUUGAAAGCCGCAUAGGCUAAGCCGGUGUGUGUGUGUGUGUGUGUGUGUGUGUGUGUGUGCGCUCGAGGUCUGUUUGUGAGGCAGAGAGUUGCGUGCGAAGAGCUCGAGAUGUCAUUCAGAGGAAUCCGCCACCUGAAACGCGAGGAAGUGAAGGCGACUCAAUUGGGUAUAAAGCAUCAGCCAACAUCUGCCCCGAGCAGUCUAAAGCUGAUGAAAACAUCAGCUCGGAGCUCGCCCAGGACCUUUCCAAUUUAUUUUAUUUCCCUUGGAUUUACCAUUUGGCAUUACCGAGUCGGUGCACCCAGGGAGACGCAUCUCUUUUUUUCUGCUCUUAAAGUGAAUGUGAACAACCAACACUAUACUGGAAUUAACUGAUAUCCACCGAGAUUUUGGCGCACCUGUUACCUCCACGGGGCGCAAGAUCAUGAUCCCUCCGGGAGACUGCAUGUAUGCGGGCAGAAAGAGGAGGAAGCCCGUCCAAAAACAGAAGCCGUCUUCUGCCAAUGAGAAAACUAACCCGUCCAAGCGGCACAGAGACAGGCUGAAUGCUGAGCUGGACCGGCUGGCCAGCCUGCUGCCAUUCCCCCCGGAUGUCAUCUCCAAGCUGGACAAGCUGUCCGUGCUGCGCCUUGCAGUUUCCUACCUCCGCGUCAAGAGUUUCUUCCAAGGUAAAGGAGGUCGAAAGAGGAGCUGGGGUGUUUGGUUUAUUUGUGUAUGUGUUUUGGUCAAUGAGAUCACAGGGAGUUACGGAGAUGAUGUGGAUUAGACCAGUAUCUGGGGUUGAUAAUGGGAUAUCUGCUGCUGUGAAUUAGCGUAUAGGUCAAUUUUGUCCACCACUGAUACAUAUGUAUUAUAAAACUGAUCCACUAAUAUGCUGGUAGACUAUGGAAAGCCUGUAACAACUGUUUAAACUGAUUCUAAGAUAAUAUGCUACGCGAGUAUGCAUAUUAUUAAUAGUGGUAAUAAUGUAUUUUUAGUAGCAAUAGCCCCAUAAGUUUAAGUUUAAAUAGAAAAGAUAUAUUUUGGAAAUUGUCACUUUAAAGAUAUUCCAUGUAACUUUUAGAAGCUGAUAAACUCUUGUGCUGGUGAAAGACAGCUGAGUGGCUGAUACAGAAAGGGAUUAUUCACAGUAUAUUAACCUGCUUCUAUCUGCACUCUUUCUAUCAUUUGCCAGUAGUGCAUCAGGGGGACACCCUUAAUGUAUAGUCAUCUCAUAGAGUGUUGGAAUAACCCAUGAACAUUUUCUAUAGGCCUCACAAGUAAGAAUCCCCUAGAGGUUUGAUGACAUGAACUGAGAUAAGAGAAUACUACCUGAGACUGCUCAGUGCAAAGAAACAGCACAGCGUUGCAUUAUAGGAGGUGUACGCUUCUGUGUUAUCUGUGUUAUAGAUUGUCUUUUAGGAAACACUUGUGUCCAUUAAAUGAUAUUGUGAAGAGGGA